CAGGUUCGAAGAAAAGACACAACGCCAUGAAGAAAAUGUCGGCUCUUCCCCAUAUUCGCUUAAGUCUAACAUUUCCGACAAUGCACGCUCACAAAUCAACGGCGAGAUCUAUUAUACCAUUCUAUCGAGGAAACAUUUGAAACAACGUCGACUUCUUUUUACUGCUCAUAUUGAAAGCCGCAGUUGCCACUACGCAUGCGUACAACGAGACAUGGCAACCCAGGGUUGAUAACGGCAGGACCAUUUUUUUUAUAUAACUCAGCCUCUUCCAGACUUUUCCAUCGUCCACGUUGCUGCCUGCGACAGUGCUGGUGCUGUUGCAGUGAUGCGUCCCCAGGAACCACGAUGUUGCAGAUCAUAUAGUCGUGGUUGGUUGAAAGUUUAGGGAGGAGAAUCUCUGCAGAAGAGGCAUGAAGGAGAGGAUGCAUCCAUGUGAGGGAGGAGGACGACCAGUCCAUCAUCCAGUCUGAUGGAAUGAGAUGAAAGUAUUAGUGAGGCGGACUGAGAUCAUGGUGGCGCCAGUGAGCGGGAAAGGAACCCGUGAUCUCGUCAUAAAAGUCAAUUAUUGAUGAGGUUUUAAAAGGAGACUUUGGUACCUGCUGUAUUUCAGUUCUGAGCUUUUUAGUUUCUGUAAAUGUGUUGUGUUUUUCAAAUUUCAAUAAACGUUAGACACAGGUGA